UCAAAAUAACACCUCAGUGGUUAGAGCGUAGGUCUCGUAACCGAAAGGUUGCGGGAUCGAAUCCCGCUAGAG
rnacentral:tRNA from 1 species